UACAGAGACCUCAAGCGUUAUCCGGAAUCAUUGGGCGUAAAGCGUACCGAUAGGUGGUUUUACAAGUCAGAAGUGAAAUCUCAAGGCUCAACCUUGAGACUGUCUUUUGAAACUGUAAAACUAGAGGAGCAAAGAGGAAGCUGGAACGAACGGUGUAGUAGUGAAAUGCGUUGAUAUCGUUCGGAACACCAAUAGCGUAGGCAGGCUUCUGGGUGCUACCUGACACUGCUAGGACGAAAGCGUGGGGAGCGAAUGGG
rnacentral:rRNA from 1 species